UUUGGGUGAAACGCCAGUCUAAGUUCCUUGGAACAGGACGUCAUAGAGGGUGAGAAUCCCGUAUGUGACUGGAAAUGUUAACCUAUGUAAAGCUCCUUCGACGAGUCGAGUUGUUUGGGAAUGCAGCUCUAAAUGGGAGGUAAAUUUCUUCUAAAGCUAAAUAUUGGCGAGAGACCGAUAGCGCACAAGUAGAGUGAUCGAAAGAUGAAAAGCACUUUGGAAAGAGAGUUAAAAAGCACGUGAAAUUGUUGAAAGGGAAGCGCUUGCAAUCAGACUUGUUUAAACUGUUCGGCCGGUCUUCUGACCGGUUUACUCAGUUUGGACAGGCCAGCAUCAGUUUCGGCGGCCGGAUAAAGGCUCUGGGAAUGUGGCCUUCACUUCGGUGAAGGUGUUAUAGCCCAGGGUGUAAUACGGCCAGCCGGGACUGAGGUCCGCGCUUCGGCUAGGAUGCUGGCGUAAUGGUUGUAAGCGACCCGUCUUGAAACACGGACCAAGGAGUCUAACAUCUAUGCGAGUGUUCGGGUGUCAAACCCCUGCGCGUAAUGAAAGUGAACGGAGGUGGGAACCGCAAGGUGCACCAUCGACCGAUCCUGAUGUCUUCGGAUGGAUUUGAGUAAGAGCAUAGC
rnacentral:rRNA from 1 species